CAAGGGCAUUUGUUUAUCUUGCUGUCCCACCCAGUGUCCAUCACUAGCGUGACACUCGGCCACAUAACAAAGAGCCAGUCCCCAUAUGAAUCCAUCGCCAGUGCACCGAGGAAAUUUUCUAUCUAUGGAAUGAGGACUGCUACUGAGGAAGGAACCUAUUUGGGAACACUGGUCUAUGAUCAAGACGGCGCAGCAUUUCAGACCUUUAGGCUGCCUAAUCCAGACAAAGGAGUCUUCCGAUAUGUGAAGCUAUAGAUUGACAACAACUGGGGAAACGCAGACUACACCUUUCUGUACAGCUUCAGGGUUCACGGUAACACAGAUAGAGGUGAAGGUAAAUCAAUCACAAAACAUCUUAAUUUGCCUGAAUUUAGCUUACCAAAUUAGGAUUCCAAAUAGGAAUUUUACUUUGAUUUGUAUUGCUUACAUUGUGCUUACUCAUACAAAACAAACAAUAUAUACACACUAUAAAUAAUAUAGAC